AGACCUUUCAUAUAACAAGUUGUCAGUGAUCUUCCAAGGCUUUGAUAGUGGUCAUUUAACUUUUAUAGACCUGUGGGGUAAUAAUUUUGAUUUACAAAUGCAAUGAUUCCAACACCAUUAAUGUGCCCAAAGGCCUGGAUAAAGCCACUUGUAAAUUGGGUAAUGCCCAUAGUACCUAAAAGCUGCGAUUAUAGUGACAUUUCGAGGACCUGCAAAAUUUAAUGUUAUUUUAUCAAGCGCAGACUCUAUCUAUUAUGUUAGUAUGACACAAGUACCAAUCAUAUUAAUUGGACUGUCAUUCUUCUUCUAGCUAUGUCAUUACUAUGUAUAUGCGGAGCAUAUUCUAACCUAUUA